GUUAAUGUAGCUUAUACA
rnacentral:tRNA from 2 species